rnacentral:lncRNA from 1 species
UUUAUUAUUUAGUGGUAGGCGAGGCCCUUGAGAACACAAGUCACGUAUGACUAUAUAAUCUAUAUAUUUCAAAUUGUAGGUCAUUUUAUUUUUCUAAAUUCAUAGAUAUUUAUGUAUUUAGACAUAAACUAUAUUUUUUUGCAUAUAAAUAUCUAUAAAUCUAGAAAACUAAAACGACCUACAAUUUGGAACGAAGAGAGUAUGUGUUUACGUCUGAGCGUGUGUAUUUAUUUUUUAGAAGAACUAUACCAUGCAUUUGUACAAGACAACAAACAAUGGCAACGAAGUUAAAUUAUACUGCUCCCGUACUACGCACCUAGCCAGCCAGGUCGGUCUUCAUUAAGAAUGACUGUGCAGGGCAUAUCUAGCUACAGUAGCUCCGCGCACGCAACUGACUAAUAAUGAUGCCACGUCUAGGAGAAGCGCUAAUGAUGCCAUGCCACAGCCACACUAAUCCGGUGAGAGGUUUGCAAGGCCGCCGGCCAUUGGAUACUUGUGGCAAGUCGCCACUCGAGCCCCUUGACCGGCGGCAGCACUUGCAAUAAGUGGCCCGACACCAUGAAUUGAAGAGAGAUCAGUGCACCACCAGGCAGAGCAAGCAUGUAUUCAUACACCCGUCGUGUGUGGUCGAUCGAAGCCAAGGGCGCAGGAAAUCUUCUGCUCGGCCAACCUCUGGUUUGCGAGCACAUACGGUGGAAAAAUAUAUUUAUUCUUUUUUCUAAAAUAUAGGUCGUUUUAAUAUUUCUAAAUUCAUAAAUUUUUUUAAUAGCUUCACGGAUGACACCAUGUCCUAUGCAUAUUAGUGGCCAGCCUUCACGCACGUUGGGUGGUGUUAGGUAUUCUAUCCUUCGAAGAUUCUUUGAAAAUACAGUAUUUAAAACUAGUCUUACGCCUAAAGCCUUGGUUGGUCAUAAAUUUAAGUGAGCCGAGUCGAACUGUUGCGUACUCGAACAAGUGGUAGUACCUCCUCCUCCUCCUCCUCCCCAAAUAGACGACCAGGGCGCGAUGGCCUGCAUUCUUGUAGUUGAUGCUUGAAGUAUGAACAAGAAGGUUCAAGCACCAAUGCAUACCAUUACAGGUGCUGGUGCUGAAAACAAGAACACAACUUGCGAAGCAUGUCUGUGCAUCGAUGCUGAUCUAUAACUUCCCGAAAGCCUCCGUGGAAGCGGAGAAAAUUAUUUCACACAUGGUUCAUUUGCCGCCAGUUUUGCUUCUAUGCAUAUGGGAAGGAUUUUUUUCUGUGGCCGAUCUUUUAAUCGGACCGGACCAAUAAGGUCACCAGUUCCUGGUUCAACCGGUGGUGUGGUCUGUUUUUUUCCUACUAGGAUAGUAUACUAUCUUUUUUUACAUUUUCUAUCUUUCAUGUAAGCGCACAAUGAUGAGGUUGAUUCUUAUAAACUAGCAGAUUAGUCAUUGUUGGUUUAGUCCUAAGCUUGGAUCCCAAAGCUGGAGGUUGUGGCGGCAACCAAAAUAAGUGAUGAUGGAACUAGGAUGGAAGCGGGACGGGAAAAUCGCGUCCCGACCGGCACCGUAUCCUAUAUAAACCGACUGUAUAUCGUAUUAACAUGAAAAACAGGGAACAGGAAAAAAUCAGAAAAAACCGGCAGGAACAAGAAUGGGAGCGGUGUUUCUUGACCGUAUUGGUGGUUCUUUGAUCAGUAAAAUUCCCGUAUGUAUUCCCGUAUUGUUUGCACCAAAACCUCUGCAUUCAGCCCACAUCUGCAUUCAGCCCAAGCCCACGGCUGGCGUCCCACGCGCGUGCCUGACGGCCUGGCCCGUUGGCCAGCGUCCCACACCUGCCGGCAGCCGCCUCAAACAAAACCAGCCCCCACUGGCCUCCUGUCCUAACCUAGCUUGCCUUCUCUCCAUUCCGAGGCUGAUUGGUUGGCUGUUUUUCCGUCAGCCAGGCCCUCCCGAUGCGACCAGCAUUUGAUAGGUUGGCUGAAUCACUUGGGGUACGAUUGGUUUCCUUCUCCGCCGAGCCUGGCUCGCACCACCCAUCUAGGCUCCCGUCGGCCAGGCUCGCCAGAUGCAACCCCCUUUUGAUUGGUUGAUGUUUGCAUGCAGCCUGGCUCGCGUGGGAAGUUGAUUGGUUGUCUGCUCCGCUGCAUUUUUUUGCCUCCGCGCUGCAUCCAUGCAUCCGCCGCUGCAUCCCAGGAGCCUGGCUCUGGAGAUACGAAGGAUUUGGUCGCAUCGCGGGAGCCAGGCUCCAGACGUUUUUUUGCAUCCCACGAGCCAGGCCUAGCAAGCAGCGCAUGCAACCAAUCGUAUGGAGGUCGCACACGGAGAGCUCGCAUCCGACCUGCAGGGAACCAGUCGCACCCUUGACUGGACCUAGCUCUGACGGUGCAAAACAGGCCAGGCUCCGCGCGUACGAGGAAAUUCCUCGUUUCCCCCGAGCCUGGCUCGCGCGAGCACACUUCCUGUGCGGAAUGAGAGAGCAGCGGUGCGAGAUAGUAAGCUGAACAGGCGAACAGGCCAACCAAUGAACCAACCAUUUUCCCUACAGAGCCAGGCUACCUGUGAACGAACAACCAAUCAGCUGCGGAUGUACCAACAGAACCUGGCCGACCGGAGCCUGGUUUGCUGAUACGAGCCAGGCUAGGCUGGUUCAGCAAACCAAUCAGGCCCGCCGCCGCCACCCAGGCACCAUCGUCUCCAGUCUUCGGCACUCCGCCACAGGCCGCUCCGUGCUUCCGUCCACUCCGCCACGGGCGCCGUCUCAGCUCUCGGGAUCCCGGCGUCUCGGAAAGGCGCGUAGCAGGGAGAAGGGAGGCACCUGCGCGGCUGGAUCUGUGCCCGUGCCUGUGCCUGUGCGUGUGUGAUGUAGUGUCAUGUGCAUGUCGCAUGUGUGUGUGUCUGAUUCCGCCGUUCUCAAUUUCUUGUUCUCGGUAUGCAUGUGCAUUCGCUGAUAUGCAUGUAAAAUUUAUUUGCUUAUUUGUGUAUUGUUUGCAUAUCAAUUAUGUAUGGUUGUAGCUAUUGCGUUGAGCUAAAUGUUUGAAGUGGUAACAUGUGUCGAUGUUCCCGAUUUGAGUUACCGAUUUCCGAUCGUAAUCGAUAUGUUCCGGUUGAAAUGUCCCGUAGGCGAGCCUCAGAAAGAAAUUCCGGGCAGUGGUCAAUUUCGUUUUUCUGUCCGGCUUUCCUGUUCCUGAUAAAAAAAUUCAGUUGCGGGAGUGGCUAGGGGAUUUUCCCGACCGUUCCCGAUCGUUUUCAUCCCUAGAUGGAAUGACUACUUCCAGCUACAAAGAAAUAUUGAUGAAGGCAUCCAUUUGAGACGAACAGGAUUCGCGUACAAAGUUAUCAAAAUGGGUGUGGGAAGGGUGCAGGAUAAGCUGUGUUAGGUUUGAAUAGCGUACUAGCCUCGCAAUUGCACGCUUGCACUUCGCUAGUUAUAGGUUUACGUAAACACGUGUGCGGUCCCAAAUAACUGGCUUUUCUAAAUACAUAAUAUAUUUAGGUGCAUGUCAAAAGCUAUGUAUCAAGAAAAGCUAAAACGAAUAGUAAUUUGGGACGCAACAUAAAGUUAGGUAUGUGGUCACGCAAUUCUCAUGCUCAUUGUACACAAACUUUGCUAAUUUAUACCACUACUAAGGAAUGGACCUUUCGUCCACGACAUCAGUACCAGUUGGAAUUGGACCUGGCACUAAUGUGAGCAUUAGUACCGGGCCUAACGGAUAGUCCCCGAGGUGUUCUCCGUGACCCCAUUUAGUACCUAGUGGGGUUUCCACCCGGUACUAGAGGUCCCCCUUUAGUACCGGGUGGAGCCCUCACCCGGUACUAAAGGCCCUAUAGCAUAUUAGAGGGUCCCUAACCGGUACUAAAGGCGUUCGCCUUUACCUAGUAGUGUACACAUAGUUUCUUCAAAGUACGUAUAUAUACAAGGUGAUCAUAAUUCAUAAAUAACUGAGUUUAACUCUAACAUUAUGCAUGCAUUAUAUCCAUACACGAACAUAUAUGAUGCUACUCUCAUCGAUGGACGACGAAGGCCCGCUGGUCUUCUGGCGGAGGGAUCACCACAUGCUCCUCUGCCUGUUAAUGAACUCCUGUGCCUGCCUGUCAAUGUCAUCUCCUUUGGCGGCACGACCACCAUCCCAUAGAGUACAGACGCCGCCGAAGACCGGGGGCCUGGGCCUGGGGACCAGGCUCAGGACCUGAUCGAUUUUCUCCACCUUCUGCACCGCCACCUCCCCGGCCGCCCUGCUGGCAGCGCCGGCGCCCUCGGCCGGAGCAGGGCUCUUGCUCUUGCCCCAACUGAACAUCUCCUUCUUGCUACCCAUACGAGCGAGCCUAAGGAAGACACCUGCUGGUUAGACACCUGUCUGGUUUUCUCGUUUGGAUUUGGUUCUGGACGAUGCCAUUGGCAACUGAUGGCCUUCGUUUAUAUAGGGAGCGUCCUCUUGGCUCUUUGAUACAGAUCUCAGAGAACGUGUUAGUUCUUGGGUUUCAGAUAAAAUCAAGCUGCUCAUGGCCAUGCAUGUAGGUCAAGUCAAUCAAACAAUUGGUCAUCACGCGCAGGCGGUCAGUCGCUUGAUGCGAUCGACGACGUUCGGGCGUUCGGCAGGUUGCCGAUCCGGUCACGGAUGGAUGGUUGCCGCGUCUGUAAGGGAUAUCGAUCAGAGAUGCCAGCGACUUGGACUUGGCUACGCUACCAACCCUGGUGCCACUAGCUGAUGGUAGUAGUGAACUUCGUCGCUGCCGGGGCGGCAACUUGGGUGGAAUCGAUCCUUUGGGUAAAGCGCAUGCAGGCGUGUUGCGCAUUUCGUACUGUAAUCUGGCAAAUUUUUGGUUCCUCGGAGGGAGAAUUGUUGAGCAAAUAAUCUUGCACUGCAUCCUCAAAGGCAACAGCAUCUUCACCAAUCGAAGCACUACUCUGGACAUCUCAUCAGCAAGAAGAUGUCACGAUGGGUACGUCAGCUGAUCUGGCGGUGAUCGGAGGAACAGAUAUGCGUAGUGGUGUGUGAUCGCAUUGAAAAAAUGGCUUUUGGAGUCUGAAACUGCAGGCAAAGGGACUCUGGAUAUCUCAUAUCGCAGCUACCUGUCCAGUAAUUCGACACACCGACAAUGCAAAUUGAAUGUGCACUUUUCCACUUUUAAAGGAAUCAUGAGAAAAUAGGAAAGUGCAUGCAGGUGCAAACCCGGAAAAAUCUCAUCUAGAUGAGAAAGCAAUGAGGAAAAAGGUUAUGGAUUGCCGCACAAAAUCAUACUAGCUUGAUCUUCUUUUUAUGUUGGUAUUACAGAAGAUGUACGAUGCAGAGAUUCAUUCCAUCUCGAACAACAGAUAUGCAAGGAUAUAUCAUGUAUAUGAUCUUUAUCACUCGUGGCCAUCCCGUACAGGGAAUCGAUCAUCUCCAUGCCAAAGAGAUACAGUGUUAUAUGGAAAACAUAAAGUUUCAGACAAUACGUAUGGCCAGCAUAUUCAUAUUUGCAUGGUUGUCUAACAAUUUAAUUACAUGUAGCUGAUCUAUACAAGUUGAGACGACUUGAGAGCCAGCCUACACUAGUCUCGAGAGGAAAGCUGUGAGAACAGACUGGUUAUGGAACCAUUGACCUUGACCCACUUGAACGCACCUGCCACCAACCCCAACCCUAAAUCCUCUAUUUUCACACGUAUAUGGGUAUAUGCAUAUGCGUAACUCUUGCGGUGAGACUACUCUCACAGUGCCAUAUGGGUUACCUUAUGAAAAAGAAAUAUCUACCAGCAAAAUGGACCAUGACGUUAUGCCAACCAAAAGAUCAAGGUUGAUUGAGAAUUACCCAAUCUACCAUUCAAAGUUAAGUGUCUCCUUAUCAAGUGGCUUAAUACGUUGCUUAAUGAGGUGAUGUCCGACAAAGCCUGCUAAAAAACAAGUACUUAGCUCAUAAAUCCCUCACUCAGAUAACUGGUAAAGCCAAGGAAUUCUCAAUUCUAGCCAAGCCAGGCUUAUGAAAGUCAAAUAUAGUUUUUUACAAUAUGGGCACUUAAUAGUUGAAAUUUACUUUGUUACUUUUGUAACAAAAAACAAACCAUUCAUCAUUUGUUUUCAAGUGUCAUUUUGCUAUGUCCACUUGCCGUAUAGUCAAACUUGCCAUACGCUUCUAGAUACACCUAAAAAUAAGGAUCAUAUAUCAUAUAUGCGGAUAUAUCUUCUACAAAAUUGCACCUACCUGUUGGGUUAAUUGAGACGACAAGCAAAGUUAAUUAGAGCAUUUUUCAUAGACUUCAAGAAUCAAGAGGAAAAAGCAGAGGAAAAAAGCAUGUUACUGCAAACAAAAGCGCUAUAAGAUUAACAGGGUAACGUGAACAUGUGGGGGACAUUCCAAUGAUAUUCAUACAAACAAGUUUAUUACCGGUGGAAGGCUGCAAGCCGUACACUCUUUAAGUUAAUACACAAGCAUACACACACUGAACGAUCGGGACCGGCGACCAGAAGGGGGUGAGCGGGAGCCGAUCAAAAUUCUCUUCUUGAACACAGAAAUUCGGCCUAUAUCCUAAAAGUCACCAUACACACAUCCCUUCUAGAAUUGUCAGAUCCACAGCCAAAUGAGAUGCUAUUGGACCUAAGAACAGUACUAGGAAGCCCUUGACAUAAAGCGGAAGCAAAUACAGAAAGAGCUAAAAAGGAAACAAAGGCAUCAGAAAAAAAUCGGAACCUUUGGAACCAAAACCGGAGGGAAAUAUUACCAAAAUUGGAGGGGAAUCUUCCAAAACUGGAGCUUCCUCUUCUCAAAACCAGAACGUCUGAUUUUGCCCAGACAACGUGUAGGAGCUCCAAGAAAAAUACCAAAACUUGACCAAACAAAUUCCAAAAUACAUGAGAUUUGGACCAUAGCUUUCCAAGACCAUCAAGAGUCCAUUCCCCAGAGAUCUCCCAAAAAGAGCAAGUUAAAAAAAAUGGAACUUCCUGUUUUGACUGCGCGGGACAAGAUCCAAAGAAAAAGGAAAACUCAAUCAAGUGACGUCCAAACUUCAUAAAAUUCUAGCCAAAGGUUUUCCUAGAUGGAGUGAGUCUUUGCCCAAAUGAUCUCCUCAAAAAGAUCAAAACUUCACCUUGAAUUUCAUGAUUUUGAUCAAGAACACAAGAGAAGGGAAUUUCGAGGAAAUCCAAAUCUGGGCUAAAUUAGUGAGGGAUUUGAGUAGGGAUCACAGAAAAAUUGCUCACAAGGAUCCUAGAAACAAAAACUCCCAACAAAUCUCACGGGAUUUGGGCUCAAACACCAAGAACAAAAAAAUCUCCAAAAAUACCUUCAAAAAUUAUGAAAAAGAUAAAUUUCAGAUCUUGAGAGGAUGGAACAAGUGAGCACGAAAUUGAUCUUUAGAUUACUCUAUCAAGUUCGGUUUAUGAGCCACUCUUAAGUACAAUCAAAACUAAGAUGGUAAAAAAAUCAAAUCAAAGAUCCUCUCAUCUCUUUCCCUCUCUCCUUCGAAAGGCCCUCACCAACAAAAUGAGAAGCCCACCACUAAAGAGUCUAAGAGAUAUGUAGCUGCCCCAACAGCCCUCUCCACGUAUAUAUUGGCAUCCGAAAAUAACCAGGAUACCCUUAUAUGAAGCAUACAACUCAAAUACCCCACAGGGGUAAAACCGUCCAUCUUUUUAUCGGUACAUCAGAUGGACCCCGCGCCUUCACGACUUCGCCUCGCCUCGACGCAAGCUUUGCGAUGGUGUCAUGCAUCCUCCGACUCGACGUUGUCCGACCGCACUGGACUCGUCCCCGGGUUUUGAGGCCAAAUCGAUCAAACAUUCUUGCAUACCUCACAGGCGUGACUCACCCCCGGUUUUAAGGCCAAACCGGUCAAACCCUCUUGCACACCCCGCAAGGCGUGACUCACCCCUAGUUUUGAGGUCAAACUAGUCAAACCCUCUCGCACGCCCCGCAAGGCGUGACUCACUGAUGUCAACACGUGUCCAGCCUCCGCCAAGCCUUCGACACCUCCAAGUCUUUCGCUCCCGCUCCCAGACCGCCUACUCGACUCGUCUCCGUCCCACUUGAAUUGACCGACGCUGUCUCCAUCCCCUUCGUGUGCUCUUGCUCUUCUGUGCACCAUGUGGGUCGCCCAUGACUUCGCCCGGACUCCUCGAGUCCCUCGGUCCAAGCCUACUCGUGUCCACCGUUCACAGCCCUAGUUCAUCAGCAUGAACCUUUCGCUUGACAUUCACCUCAUGCUGUCGACCGAAAUGUCUCAUCCUACACCUGCACAUCGCAAGCCAAGAGACACAACACAUAAAAUAUAUUUUACACACACCACACCACACCACACCACAACACAACACACACAACACAACACGUCCGGCUAGCCGUUAGUAUAAUCAGGCACAUAUGACAUAUGGACUCAACUGGUAAAAGUCUCAAAUCAUCCGGUCAAUCACUCAUCACAAAUAGACCAAGGCACCUCGACUUGGUCUCUCAUAAAAAUCUAUACCUAAUAUUAAAGUACGGUUGUUUCUUCCAACUAUCAUGGUUAUUUUGCAAAAAAAGUCCCUCAACUUUUUUUAAUCAACCCGCAGUUCUUGGAAUAUGUCUUGAUAAUUUUGCAAAAAGAUCCCCAAACUUUACUACAAUCGUGGAGGUGGAGGCGCCCGCGCCAGCCGACCUCGACGCCGGGGUCGGGGCCACCCGCGUUGGCCGGCCUUGCCUGGGCUGCACCGUCUGUCGCCGCUGUGGAGCUGGAGCCGGCCGGCCACCCGCGCCGCUGGGGGCCAUGCCGGCCGCCUCCGCCACCGGGGCCAGGGUCGGGGUGGUUGUCGCGCCGGCCGCCUCCGCUGCUGGGGUUGGGCCGAGGUGGCCGCACUGGCCAUCUCCACCGCCAGGGCCAGGGCCGGGGUGGUCACCGCGCGGCAGCCUCCGCUACCGAGGUCGGGCCGGGGUGGGAGCCGCGCCUGACGCCUCCGCUGCCGAUGUCGGGCCAAGGUGGCCGCGCCAACCGCUUCGCCGCCGGGGUUGAGGCUUGGGGUGGCCGCCAUGCCUGCUGCCUCCACCAUUGGGGUCGGGCUAGGGCUGGGGUGGCCGCCGCACUUGCUGCCUUCGCCACCGGCGUUGGGCCAAGGUGGCCACACCGGCUGCCGGGGCUCCUCCGCGGGGGCGCGUCGAAGAGGUAGGAGAGAAGAGAGAGAGGAGAGGUGGGAGAGAGGAGAGAGAGGCGAUAGGGCCGGGAGAGAGAGGAGAGGUGGGAGAGAAGAGAGCGAGAGGGAGGAGAUAAGGUUGGUUGGUGAGAGGGAAGGGUGGGAGGAGAGUUCAGCCAAUAGGAACAUUUGGUUUCGGAGUUGUGGAUCGAUAACGUGGCAAAUGUAUUUCUUCUCUGAACUUAUAACACAUUUUUGACUACUAAACGAUCUCGUAUGAAAAAGUUGUCAACUAUAAAGUUUAAAAUCUUAUCGAACUCGACAAUUUUGAUAUAAAGUUUGUAUUCAUCCGAGAUCGUAUGCAAAAGUUUGUAUUAAAAAAAUAUAGCCUUCAACCUAAUUAUUCCCAUUGUUUCUAUUUACAUACAGAGCCCAACAACGGUUGUACCGUCAUCAUCGUCAUACAUCUUGACGCCGCUCCCAUUGUAGGUCACCUUCUACCGCGGCAAUGGGACUUCGAGCGGCGGUACGCCUCUCAGAGCUGUGCUCACCCCCGCUUCUAUCGGAACGCACGAGUUCCAUGUGUGGAUCCCACGUAAUAAACAGAUGGCAUCAAACCACCCACAAAUAUCUUCUACUACUAUACUUGCAAAGAGAGGACUACUAGGGACAAUGCAUCAACAUAUUAUGAAGCGAAACUAACAUAUUAGGAACAAACGAAUAAUAAUAUGAGAGCAAGUAAGGACGACCCGUAGCAACGCAUGAGCAUUUCCGCAAGUUACUACUACAUACAGAUAUAUUUUUUUCACGAUGGGAUCAUAACAGGGGUUAAGUCUAGCUAAUUAACAUACUCCAUAUGGGCUACUGCAUGUAUACACGAUCGAGUUUCGAGUCGAGCAUAUAUGAUGCUUAAUUCAUGUUGGACGAUGGAACCACAUCUUCCGCUGCUUGAUGAACUCCUCCGCCAUCUUGUUGAUGUCGUCUCCUUCGCCACCGCCGCCGCCUCGUGGAGCACGCGCCAAGCCGUAGACGGAGGGCCUGGACACCACGUUGUGGACCUCGAUCUUGGGCACCUUCUCAACGGCCACCUCCCCGGCCGCGCCGGCGGCCGGAGCAGGGUUCUUGCCCCAACGAAUCAUCUCCUCCUUCUUGCUACCCGCACGAGCCUAGCAAGCAAGCUAAGGACUGCUCAGACGAUGGUUCUCCGGUAAUUUUCCUGAUCGAUCAGAUCGUUUGGAUUGAGUUGGCUGGACGAGGAUGGAGUUGGCAACCGAUGGACUAGGUUUAUAUAGCGAGCGAUCCUCUUGUCACUUAGCUACCGGUUCUUGGACGUUGAUGCACGUGUUCUCAGGCAUCCGAUUGCUUUAGAUAAUUAUUAGGAUGAGUGCCCCAGGUCCAUAGCCAUGCGUCUUGGUCAGUAGAGGUGACAUGUUUGGCAACUUGUCCGGUCUCAGAUGGCUGCUGUAAGGGAUCCCUGCAGAGAUGCGAGCAGCUUGGCUACGCUACCAACAACCGUCAGCCGUGUUGCCUGCCACUUGCAUUGCUGCUACGUCAAGUUCGUCGCUGCUGGGGCUGGGGCAGCAUCUUCGGCGGAAUCCUAGCUUUGGGUAAAGCGCUUGCAGGCGUGUUGCGCGUUUCGCCACUGUAUAUCUGAACAUUUUUGGUUGAGCAAUCGUGCGCCACACCCUCAAAGGCACGAGGCAUCUAUCUCAAUAGGUGGAAGCUGCCGGACUCGGGACACCGCAGCAGAGGUAGACGUCAGGAUGGGUACAUCCACAUUACCGGACGGUAUCAGGAAUAUAUGUGCUCAUCGCAUUGAACAACGACGCCUGGAGCCCGAAACUUCAGUUCAGAGUACAAGUCUGAAGGUAAAAGCACAGUGCGGCAGAACAGAGAAAUCUAAUUGGAAAUGGAAGAAUUGCACUGAAAUCAUGGCAUUGGUUUUUGCACAUAUAUAUAGCCAAUAAUCAUGCACAUUUGCUAGUUCUGACGCAGUGAUUUUUUUUUAUUUUUUCAUAUCACGAGCAACUAAUCUAUUAAUCCUCUGCACGCCGCAUUCUAAAAGUUGCUUUUGGUGGAUUCACGUUUACUAAAUCACUUUUCCCUUUGCGAAUCGUAAAUGCUGCUGCUGAGAUUGUUUAUUAAGAGCUCUUCUUCCCAGGUGAUAGGGUGGAAUCUAUGCUACCAAAUUAGUUUGGUAGUGGAAUCCCGAUUAGAUAAAAUAAUUGGCAUGAUUAAGGACACGCGACCUCGACUUACAUCUAAAGUACAAGAUCAUAUCAUCAUCAUGCGAGCAUGUCACUGCAAUUACAGCUAGCUGUCAAUUAGACACUCUAAACAGACUGAAAUGUGCACUUUCCAAUGUUUACAAGAAUCAAGAGAAAAGAGGAGAGACUGAUGCUAACAUUUAACUCUAGAAAAUCUAAUCGAUAUGAGAAAGCACUGAGAAAAAGUUUUGGAAUAUUGCCCCACAAAAUCAUCUGGACAUGAUCUGUGUUACAGAUGUACAACUUAGAGAUAUAUAUGUGAAAUCACUCUCUAACAACAGAUAUGGAAGGAAAGCAUCGCUUCUAUCUCCGUGCUUGCUUCUUACUAGAACAAUCUUGAUCUCAAUAUCUCAUCAUGAUCAUGCUGCACAAGUAAUAGAACCUGGUGCCAGAUAUAUGGUACAGUACUAUAGCAAUGCAAUGGCAUCUUAUUGCACCUUAAUUUCUAACAAAGCCUUAAUUACAUAUGUAGCUCUUCUUACAAGCUUCUUGGAACGUAUGCCUGUCAAGAUACUCAAAAAGAGUAUAAGGAAAACCCGCGAGAUGUUAGGAUAUGAUGUAUACACCGUAUACACAUGCGCAACCUGACGGCGAUGGAAAUGGGUAGAGGUGUUGAACAGAUUAAAACAGUGCUACGGCAAAUGGCCGUGGAGUCUAAAACACGGAUGCUGAGUUCUUGGUUUCCGAGAUGGAGGUCCUUUUAGCUCCACUAAUGCUGUUGGAAAGUGCUAUAUUCCCAACAGUUCAGUAGGAAACUGAAGGCAAAACUUCAGCGCUGCGACACAAAGCAAUAUAAUUGAAACUUGAGGAAUUGCACUGAGUUGCGUGUUUGAUUCACAUUAUUUAAUCUAUCAUGCGCGUUUCCUGCUAGCAUGAGUAUCUACUCUCUUUUUUUUUAACAAAAGUUUAGCAAGUAGCUAAGUUACCGUGUGCAAUUGAUUAAUUAACUAUUAAUUUUCGUGCACCUAAUUGAAAAAUUUGCUGUCAACUAGAUUUAGCUUUAGUGUAUUACUCUUCGCUUUAAAAUCGUAAACCUUUAAGUUGCUGAUGAGAUUGGCAAACGGCACUUGCUGGUUAAGAAUCCCUUCUACCGAAUUGGUUUGGCAGUGGAAUCUGAUUAGAUAAAAUAAAUGACAAGAUCAGGAAGGUGCAACAAUGGAUAUAAAAUCAGUACUGAUCAAUUGAUCAUAUCAUUAUGAUGCGAAUGUAUAUCUACCGCAGCUACGUGUCUGGCAACUCGACACGAAUAGCAAAUUAAGUAAUAAGCAUUUUCGAAGACUUCAACAAUCAGAGCUUCAUGAGAAAAAGCAGAACCAAAAGUACGUUGCUAUACUAGUGUUCAGGAAAGCAGUAAGAACUGAGUGGUAAGGGAAUAGCAUCAUAUCUAGCUCGACCCACUUCACCCCCUAUUUCAAAAUUUGAUUAUAAUGUGAAUGAUAGUGUCUAAUUUUCAAGAACCCAGCCCUCAACACUGGAAAUUCACCAAAAUUUUUGUAAAAAGUUUUGAUCAAAAUUUGGUCUCACAAGUUUUUAAGACCUGCUUUGGUCUCUCGAAACAUAGUCAUAUACAGCCUCAAAUGGAUAAUCAUUUGGAAGAAAGUGCAUGCUUAUUUUUUAUAAUUAGGUUCAUUUUAAAUAUUAUAAUCCAGAUUACGUGGCCUUUUCUAUCAAGAAUACAUUGGCCCCUUAAAAACUGAUUUGAAUAAUAAUAUAUGGCAGGCAUGUUUAUUCUAAAAGUACACACGUGCUGACACUUUCUCGCAGAAUCAAUGGUCACCAAAUAGAAAUAUCAUGGAACUCUCGUUCUCUGGAAGUGAUAGAAAUAUCAUGGAACUCUCGUUCUCAUGAAGUCAUAAGGGUUUGGGUGGUUCCCUGAAAGUCCAUAAGGGCAGUCUUAGUGGAAGGUUUUAUAAGAGUUUCAUUAACAUUAAAAUGUAUGCCACAUCAGUAUUUUUGCUGAAUUGGCAAGGCCAUAUUGAGAAGAAAGAAUGAAGAAUUUCAUCAGAUGUGAGAAGAGUUUCAUCAACAUGAUACUCAUCAGGCACAAUUACCAAGUUCUUAGUCUUGGUAACUGUGCCAUGAAACUAUGCACUGAAACUGGCCUAAGGUUUGGGUGGAAUACGUGCCUUUUCUCAAUCUGUUCCCCACACAAAUUGUUCGAGGUGUUGUUCUCCAAAUUAUUUCAGCAAGUGGGAGAUAAAGAAUGGAUGCAAGAAACUAACGCAUAUGCUGAUUAAUCCAGCUAGCAAGCGUGCUUAGUCCUGUGCAUGGAUAGAUGCAUCCUGAAGACGAAUUGAGUUCUUAUUCGGCGCACAUCAUACAGAAAAGAAAACCCAGAUUGCUCGGCCAGGAAAGCUUUAUAUAUUCAGCAAAGCUAAACAUCAGCAUCAAAUCAAUCACUGGCGAAAAUGUGGCGUAAUUCGGCAAAGCCGGCCCCAAAUGCAAGAGUAGGUUGAGUGAUAAAGAUCUGCUAGCUAGCUCAUGCACAGUACCAGGGGGGUCGAUGCUGUGCUUGAUUGAUCAUGUUCAUGUCAAUGGCAAUCGCAGUCCGACGAUCCAACCCGAAAUUGCAACCAGAAUCAGGCGACAUGACUGAUCUGAUGGAGCAACCUGCCAAUUAAUGUGAAUCAAAUGUGCUGCUCAGACAGCUCCACGUACGUUACCUAUCUAGUGAGUGCUUCCUGCAUGCCUAGAUUGAUCGAGUGAUGCAAACGUCAGCUUACGGUUGCACGUUUUCGCAGAAGGCAUCAGGUGCCUUCCACACCGCCACCGCCAACCUUGACUACUCCAUCUCCAUCCUUAACGUCCUCCAUCCAUGCUGAAGUGAGAUUUAUAUAUCUGGAAAGACGACUUGUUCCAUUGUGACUGCUGGUAUUUUCUCAGCCUCUUCCCCCCUUUCAGGAGACUGUCUGAAACAGUGGUGAUGACUUGCCGGGUAAAAUUCAGACCCUAGACCCCGACAGUUAUUGGACGACCAGGUGUUUGAUUUAACAAGGGUGGUGAUAGACCAACUGACUACAGUCCUUGAAACUUCAUAUGACGAAAAAAAUGAGCAAAAUCCAGUAUAACCCAACUUUUGGCAUAAUAUUGAAUCCUUACUGCUAAUCAUUUUGGAAAUGUUUGGAAAGCAGAAAACUAAAUGCAUGAGAAAAGGAACAAUUAUAGAAUAAAAUAUAGCAGUAAAUUUGAGAACAGGAUUUUUGUCCUAAAAGAUUGCAAUUACUUAUGUUUCGGCAAGUGGGAGAUAAACAAUCAAUGCAAGAAACUAAUCCAGCUAGCAUGUUCACCAGUGCAUGGAAGCAUCCUGAUGAAGACGCAUUAAGUUCUUAUUCGGUGCAGAUCACGCGUAAAAAUGCUGUACUUGGUCAGGACCUUACUUUAUGAGAGCUAAAUAUCAGAGUCAAAUCACAGGCAAAAUGGGGCAUAAUUAGUCUUGGAUGGAAUGGAACGUAGCUUCCAGUCUUGUAGUCUUGCAUUGUUAUCUUGUACGUAUGCUGAGCUUACAUGGAGGGCAAUAGAUCAUCUCUAGAUGAUCUCAUCCAAACCCAAGAGAGAUUGAUGAUAUAGUACAGGGUGUUAGAAUCUAAUACCUCUCGUUAUGCGCAGCAGUCCUCGGAUCUAGAAAGGAUAUUGCAAGUACAACAUGAGCUUGCACCGUAUCAAGAACAGCGUAUAUGAAUCUCGUAGAAAACCCUAGAUGAUAGCAUUGAAGCAACCACGAUAAGAGAAUAGGAUUUUGGCGAAACCGACCAUAAAUUCUUUAAGCACAACUCCAAAAGAGUACAGAUAAUUGUCGCUCCCUCACAACCCUACUUGACCCUCUAUGACCCUCUGAUUCUUGCCCUAUACAAGAAUCUAGUGCUAUAGAAUGUCUAACUUAUCCCUCUUGAGCGUUCCUAAUUGCCUCUCACAAGCCUUGGAUGAAAACUUGGUGUUUUCCUUUGACUUGAUUUAUUCCUAGAGGCUCCACCCCCUUGUUUAUAUAGUCCCCUCCAAGUCCCUCAUACAUGCAGAUAGGAGUCUUACACCUAAUAGGAUUCAACACUCAAGUCUUAGUAGAAAUAGAAGUUCUAAUAGCACACCCUUAUAGAGUUCUAAUGCAAGUAGAAUUUGAGUCACCACACAAGACAGAGAUUGAUACCAUCAUUGAUCCAUCGUGUUCGUGGCAGUCGCAAUCAAAAUACAAGUCUAUACCACACUGGAAUCAAAUAAUUUCUGUUCGAUUGAUCGAGCAAACUUCUGAUAUGCAAAUCUAGAUAUUUAGCUAGCUGGAUCUAUCGAUCGAUGCAAAGAUAAGCAAGGAGUUGCUCGUUGCACGAGCACAUCGGGUGCCUUCCACACCAGCUUGGGCAUUUGACUACUUCGAUUAGGCUGUGUCUCCAACGUCUUCUGUUACUGAAGUUGGCAUACAUGAACCGUAAAGCCACAGUGUCAGAGAGGACGACUUCAUCCCUUGUGUGAACUGAUCUUUUAUCUACUUUUUAACCGUUCCCUAUCAGGAGAUUGUCUGAAAUGGUCAUGAUACCAGGUAAAAUUUAGCCCUACCUUUGCAACCGGACAACACUGGAAUCUUUGAUGGCAAGAUCAAUGAGGCGUUUGAUUUCAGAAAUAGCAGUGAUGAUAGAAAGACUGCAACUAACCCCAGUCAUUGAAACUUGUUCAGAAAAGAAAACGAGGAAGAACCAGUAUGAUCCAACUUUUGACAUAGCACUGCGUCCUUAUUAACUUAUAUUUUGAAGACAUUUCCCAAACAAAAAGAAAACACGAAAAUACAUGAGACGGUGACAUGUUCUUUGGAUACAGCUUGGACUAAAAUGCCCAAAACCUUAUGGGUAAACCGACUGGGAUAUUACAAAGGGAAAGCACAAGAAUAAGACAUAGAAGAAAGAAAACAGGAGUUAAUAGACUUGUAUCAGCUUUCCCUCAAAAGUUCCUAAUAUUCGAUUCUGUAGCUGUUUCAAAGAAGCCAUCUCUUUUGCUUCAAAGAGAGCCUUAGCUGGCAGCAGUGUAUGUAUCUGACUGCAUCCUGAUUGUCAUGACACUAACAGUAUAACUGUACAACUUUUUGAAAAAUUAACAUUAUAUUAAUAAUCAAGGUAAUUUUCUCUAUACCAUAUACAUAUCCAACAUGCAUACAUCCAUAACAGCAUUUAUAACUAAAGCAACAUCUUAUAUAUUCCAUCCCAGCGUAAUAUCAAAUAUACAUAUAACCAAACCAAUUCCAUGGAUGCAACAGUAUAUUAUCAGACCUUCACCUUGUCACACGGACUCAAACCUCAAAGUAAGCAAUAAGUAGUGCUAGCCAAGAAAUCGUUUCUUCAUCUCUGUGAUGUACCUUUCAGACCUCUUGUUGAUGUCUUCUACAGAGACUAUACCCUUGCUUGUGUUCCCAGUCUUCUUCCAGCCUGUGACAUCAUGACCAGAAGUAGGAUACUUUCCAGUUGCCACCAUCGGCUUAUUAGCAUAGAUUGAUGGCUUGGUGAGGAGGUUGUAGACGAGGUCAAUUUUUUCAACCUUUUGAAUCCUAACCUCACCUUCCAAGGGAGGAGCCAUGGUGGUCUUGGCACGUCGAAACAUCGUCAACUGGGUUUUGUUGGAAGAGAGGAUGCUGUAUUGCUAAGGUAGAUUUUGCUCUUGAGCUUGCUUGGUACCAGCAGGAUGAUGGUGGUCUCUAUUUAUAGGCGGCUUGGGAGUUUUCCUUUGAGAUUCUCUAGCAAGGCACCGUUACCAUUUGUCUUUAGUUAGAGAAGCAAUCAGUAGUAGGCCCAUUUGUUGUCUGAAAUGUCUUUGCUAG